rnacentral:rRNA from 1 species
CGGGAGGCCUAACACAUGCAAGCCGAGCGGUAUUUAUUCUUCGGAAUAGAGAGAGCGGCGUACGGGUGCGGAACACGUGUGCAACCUGCCUUUAUCAGGGGGAUAGCCUUUCGAAAGGAAGAUUAAUACCCCAUAAUAUUUAAGAUGGCAUCAUUUUAAAUUGAAAACUACGGUGGAUAAAGAUGGGCACGCGCAAGAUUAGAUAGUUGGUGAGGUAACGGCUCACCAAGUCAGUGAUCUUUAGGGGGCCUGAGAGGGUGAUCCCCCACACUGGUACUGAGACACGGACCAGACUCCUACGGGAGGCAGCAGUGAGGAAUAUUGGACAAUGGGUGAGAGCCUGAUCCAGCCAUCCCGCGUGAAGGACGACGGCCCUAUGGGUUGUAAACUUCUUUUGUAUAGGGAUAAACCUAGAUACGUGUAUCUAGCUGAAGGUACUAUACGAAUAAGCACCGGCUAACUCCGUGCCAGCAGCCGCGGUAAUACGGAGGGUGCAAGCGUUAUCCGGAUUUAUUGGGUUUAAAGGGUCCGUAGGCGGAUCAGUAAGUCAGUGGUGAAAUCUCAUAGCUCAACUAUGAAACUGCCAUUGAUACUGCUGGUCUUGAGUAAGGUAGAAGUAGCUGGAAUAAGUAGUGUAGGUAGCGGUGAAAUGCAUAGAUAUUACUUAGAACACCAAUUGCGAAGGCAGGUUACUAUGUCUUAACUGACGCUGAUGGACGAAAGCGUGGGGAGCGAACAGGAUUAGAUACCCUGGUAGUCCACGCUGUAAACGAUGCUAACUCGUUUUUGGGCUUUCGGGUUCAGAGACUAAGCGAAAGUGAUAAGUUAGCCACCUGGGGAGUACGAACGCAAGUUUGAAACUCAAAGGAAUUGACGGGGGCCCGCACAAGCGGUGGAUUAUGUGGUUUAAUUCGAUGAUACGCGAGGAACCUUACCAAGGCUUAAAUGGGAAUUGAUCGGUUUAGAAAUAGACCUUCCUUCGGGCAAUUUUCAAGGUGCUGCAUGGUUGUCGUCAGCUCGUGCCGUGAGGUGUUAGGUUAAGUCCUGCAACGAGCGCAACCCCUGUUACUAGUUGCUACCAUUAAGUUGAGGACUCUAGUAAGACUGCCUACGCAAGUAGAGAGGAAGGUGGGGAUGACGUCAAAUCAUCACGGCCCUUACGCCUUGGGCCACACACGUAAUACAAUGGCCGGUACAGAGGGCAGCUACACAGCGAUGUGAUGCAAAUCUCGAAAGCCGGUCUCAGUUCGGAUUGGAGUCUGCAACUCGACUCUAUGAAGCUGGAAUCGCUAGUAAUCGCGCAUCAGCCAUGGCGCGGUGAAUACGUUCCCGGGCCUUGUACACACCGCCCGUCAAGCCAUGGAAGUCUGGGGUACCUGAAGUCGGUGACCGUAAAAGGAGCUGCCUAGGGUAAAACAGGUAACUAGGGCUAAGUCGUAACAAGGUAACC